AAAAACACUCAUAUAGGAGCAACCUCCCCUUUUUUUAUUUAUCAUUUAUAAAUACAAUAUGAUAAAAUAAAACACGAUCCCAAGGCAAACCCAUGAGAAUACCCCUCUCUUUUUUUUUCAGCAAAAAAUAGACACUAUGUAACUUUAUUGCACUAGAAAAAAGAUACUAAAAAAUAUACUAUGGAACCCCCUUUGCAGUCGAUUAUAUCUGGUAAAGGAUUUAUAUUUGUUCUAGGUUUUUAGGAAAAAUGGAACAAUUCUAUUCAGUAGGAACAAAAAGAAGUGGAUCUAUUUUAUUCUAUAUCCGAUAAAUAACAAUACGCAAUGGUGGUGUGGGAGGACGUUGACCAAAUGAAUAAAAAAAAGGGAUAGUUAUUACAAACAGGUUCUUUGAAUGAUAAAAAAAGAUAUGUUUGCAUUCACGAAUAAAAACACUCAUAUAGGAGCAACCUCCCCUUUUUUUAUUUAUCAUUUAUAAAUACAAUAUGAUAAAAUAAAGAAAAAUCAAUUUUUAGACAAUAAACCUUUACGUUUCCACAUCAAAGUUACAUAUAUUACUUCAUUUUUGUUUUCCAUUUUAUGCCUAUUGGUGUUCCAAAAGUUCCCUUUCGAAGUCCUGGAGAGGAAGAUGCAUCUUGGGUUGACAUAUAGUGCGACUUGUCAGAUAUAUAUGGGUUAUAUGGGAUUUCCCCGUUUUCUCCACCGAUUGAGGUAUCCUCUCUUUCACCCCGAAAAAUAUUGAUUGAAUCGUCAAAAAUCUGGAGCGUGAAGUGUAAUGAAGUUCAAUUAGAUCGAUCUUUUAGUUUUUUAGGGGGUAUCCAAAUUAGUAUUCUCAAUUUUGAAUUAUUUAUGGUUGUCUUGACUGGACCAAUAAAUAAAAUGAAGCAUCCAGGCUCUGUUUAGACAAACCCAAUUGGGUAAUAUACCAAAUUUAGCAAAAAAUAGACACUAUGUAACUUUAUUGCACUAGAAAAAAGAUACUAAAAAAUAUACUAUGGAACCCCCUUUGCAGUCGAUUAUAUCUGGUAAAGGAUUUAUAUUUGUUUUAGGUUUUUAGGAAAAAUGGAACAAUUCUAUUCAGUAGGAACAAAAAGAAGUGGAUCUAUUUUAUUCUAUAUCCGAUAAAUAACAAUACGCAAUGGUGGUGUGGG
rnacentral:lncRNA from 1 species